GCCGGGUUAGCACAGGGGUAGUGCAGCGGUUUUGUAAACCGUUGGUCGGGGGUUCAAAUCCCUCACCCGGCACCA
rnacentral:tRNA from 1 species